UAUUACAGCUGAUGGGGAGGAAACUACACUGACUACUGUCAGUAGAACUAAUUUUAGUGCAUCCUGUUUUAAUUGGAAGCAAAAGUUGAGGAAGAUAUUUUCUAUUUUUUCAAGGCACAAUGUCCGUGUGGCCCCUGCAUGAGAAAGGUACAAACUACGUGUUACUUACUGUGAAACUUUACUAUUAUUUAUGUGUAACAAUAUUUGUGUAUAAUCAAUUGGUGAAUAAAGUAUAUUUGAAUUUAUUGAA